rnacentral:lncRNA from 1 species
UUACUUUCCUCAUGCAGAAAAAUGGCCACGGUUCUCCUCACAUUCUUGGUCUCCAAGUCUGAACAUUUCAACUCAUUUGGAUUUGAAUCAUAAGCCCUCAAAACCACAACCUGGCAUUCACGUCUUCAAGUCACUCUGCCCUUGUGAUACAGAUAAUCAUCAGUUAGGCUGAAAUUCUUGCCUUCUAUAGCAUUGUUCCAAUUUGCCAGCAUCUGUUAAUGAGGACAUAGUAUAAAGCCACCUGUAAUGUCAGAAGGUCAUUGAGGAGAAGAGGCUGUCAGGGACGCCAGCUCUUCUGCCACUGGUCUUAUGAAUCACAGAUGUCCUGGACCACACAAGGCUUCUGAGAGCAUUGCAGCCACUGUCAAACUGUAUUUCAUCUGGGUGCUGGCAAAAAAAAAGGCAAAGGAGAACUAGCUUGCU